rnacentral:rRNA from 1 species
CCUACGGGAGGCAGCAGUGGGGAAUAUUGGACAAUGGGGGCAACCCUGAUCCAGCCAUGCCGCGUGUGUGAAGAAGGCCCUCGGGUUGUAAAGCACUUUCAGUGAGGAAGAACGCCUGGUGGUUAAUACCCAUCAGGAAAGACAUCACCCACAGAAGAAGCACCGGCUAACUCCGUGCCAGCAGCCGCGGUAAUACGGAGGGUGCGAGCGUUAAUCGGAAUUACUGGGCGUAAAGCGCGCGUAGGUGGCUUGAUAAGCCGGUUGUGAAAGCCCCGGGCUCAACCUGGGAACGGCAUCCGGAACUGUCAAGCUAGAGUGCAGGAGAGGAAGGUAGAAUUCCCGGUGUAGCGGUGAAAUGCGUAGAGAUCGGGAGGAAUACCAGUGGCGAAGGCGGCCUUCUGGACUGACACUGACACUGAGGUGCGAAAGCGUGGGUAGCAAACAGGAUUAGAUACCCUAGUAGUC